rnacentral:rRNA from 1 species
GACGAACGCUGGCGGCGUGGAUUAGGCAUGCAAGUCGAACGGUAUCAUCCUUUCGGGGGUGAGAGAGUGGCGAACUGGUGAGUAACACGUAGGUUAUCUACCCUCAAGACGGGGACAACCCAGGGAAACUUGGGCUAAUACCGGAUGUGAGCAACUUUUAGUUGUUUGAAAGGUGGCGUAAGCUGUCGCUUGGGGAUGAGCCUGCGUCCUAUUAGUUAGUUGGUGAGGUAACGGCUCACCUAGGCAAUGAUAGGUAGGCGGCCUUAACGGGUGGUCGCCCACACUGGGAUUGAGAUACGGCCCAGACUCCUACGGGAGGCAGCAGUCGAGAAUAGUCUACAAUGGUCGGAAGACUGAUAGUGCGACGCCGCGUGAACGAUGAAUCCCUUCGGGGUGUAAAGUUCUUUUAUAUGUGAGCAGUGCUUCUUAUAUUAACAGUUAUGGGGAGAGGAGAUAUUAGCAUAUGAAUAAGCAACGGCUAACUCCGUGCCAGCAGCCGCGGU